UGGGCAACCUGCCCCUCUCUCUGGGAUAACCCCGGGAAACCGGAGCUAAUACCGGAUACUCCGGCUGGAUCGCAUGGUCCGGCUGGGAAAGGUCCGCCGGAGAGGGAUGGUCCCGCGGCCUAUCAGCUAGUUGGUGGGGUGAUGGCCCACCAAGGCGUCGACGGGUAGCCGGCCUGAGAGGGCGACCGGCCACACUGGGACUGAGACACGGCCCAGACUCCUACGGGAGGCA
rnacentral:rRNA from 1 species